UACGUAGGGGGCGAGCGUUGUCCGAAGUUACUGGGCGUAAAGAGCGCGUAGGCGGGUCUUUAAGUGAGGGGUGAAAGGUUCAGGGCUCAACCCGAACACUGCCUUUCAUACUGGGGACCUUGAGUGCGGGAGAGGCGAGUGGAAUGGUCGGUGUAGCGGUGAAAUGCGUAGAUAUCGAUCGGAACACCCAUGGCGAAGGCAGCUCGCUGGCCUGCAACUGACGCUGAGGCGCGAAAGCGUGGGGAGCAAACAGG
rnacentral:rRNA from 1 species